UCGAGAAUUUUUCUCAAUGGGCGAAAGCCUGAAGGAGCGACGCCGCGUGGAGGAUGAAGGCCUUCGGGUUGUAAACUCCUGUCAUUUGGGAACAAAAUUUCCGCUUAACUGGCGGGGACUUGAUAGUACCAGAAGAGGAAGAGACGGCUAACUCUGUGCCAGCAGCCGCGGUAAUACAGAGGUCUCAACCGUUGUUCGGAUUCAUUGGGCGUAAAGGGUGCGUAGGCGGUCGCGCAAGUCGGAUGUGAAAUCUCAGGGCUCAACCCUGAAACUGCACUCGAUACUGCGUGGCUAGAGUACUGGAGAGGAGACUGGAAUUUACGGUGUAGCAGUGAAAUGCGUAGAUAUCGUAAGGAAGACCAGUGGCGAAGGCGAGUCUCUGGACAGUUACUGACGCUGAGGCACGAAGGCCAGGGGAGCAAACGGG
rnacentral:rRNA from 1 species